UGGUGCAGGACACCAGAGAGGUGGAAUCGGUCGCGCAGGAGAAGAAGGUGUACAGGAAGAAGACGCACCGGAGGAAGGUGCGCAGGAAGAACACGCGCCGGAGGAAGUCGCGUGGGAAGAAGACACGCUCGAAGAAGAGGUGUUUGAAGAAGAAGCAGGACAUCUGCAGGCUCCUGGAUCCCUGCAGUGAAACCCUGAGAGCAGUGCGAAGUGCCCUCACAACAGAGAGCGUACCACGUCAGCUCUCCUUGCAAGAG